GGGGGGGGGGGGGGGGGGGCCUAGCGGGGGGGGGGGGGGGGGGGGGGGCUGGGGGGGGGGGGAACGGGCGCGCGGGUGCGGAAGGCGGGUGCGACGGACCGUUCACAGGGGGAUAGCCGGAAGAAAGUUGGGUUAAUACCCCCUCAUAGGAUUGGAUGGCAUCAGUUGAUAAUUAAAACUGCGGUGGUGAAAGAUGGGCCUGCGUCCUAGUAGCUAGUUGGAGUGGUAACGGCACCCCAAGGCUACGCUAGGUAGGGGUCCUGAGAGGGAGAUCCCCCACACUGGUACUGAGACAGUGACCAGACUCCUACGGGAGGCAGAAGUGAGGAAUAUUGGUCAAUGGUCGGAAGACUGAACCAGCCAUGCCGCGUGAAGGAAGAAUGCCUUAUGGGUUGUAAACUGCUUUUAUAGGGGAAGAAUAAGGCGUACGUGUACGUUGAUGACGGUACCAUAUGAAUAAGCAUCGGCUAACUCCGUG
rnacentral:rRNA from 1 species